UACGUAGGUCCCGAGCGCUAUCCGGAUUUAUUGGGCGUAAAGCGAGCGCAGGCGGUUGGAUAAGUCUGAAGUUAAAGGCUGUGGCUCAACCAUAGUAUGCUUUGGAAACUGUUCAACUUGAGUGCAGAAGGGGAGAGUGGAAUUCCAUGUGUAGCGGUGGAAUGCGUAGAUAUAUGGAGGAACACCGGUGGCGAAAGCGGCUCUCUGGUCUGUAACUGACGCUGAGGCUCGAAAGCGUGGGUAGCGAACAGG
rnacentral:rRNA from 1 species